rnacentral:lncRNA from 1 species
CCGGAACUUGAAAACAGUGUUGACAUCAAACACGUGCUGCAGUGUUUUAGAAGACUAAAAAUGGUUGGAGAGAAGAAAAAGAAAGUACGUAUGAGCAUAGAGUCAAUAUUUAGGUUUGUUUGUCUAAAUAAAAAAGAUGGUAUAGCGUGUGCGUCUAAAACGGUACAUGAACUUAUGAUGAAGCUGAUCACGUUGAACAAGCACAGGCACUUGUUUCUAUCCACUGGAAGACCCACUAUCAACGUAUAUUUACGAGUAAAUAUACGUUGAUAGUGGGUCUUCCAAUGGAUAGAAACAAGUGCCUGUGUGAACAAGGCCAUGACUAAAAACAACACGAAAACAUUGCAUUUUGAAUUUCACAGAAAAUAAAGGUAUUAUUCCUAAUGGUUGUUGCCAUAACCAUUUAUUGUCAAUGUGUUAGUGCUAAUAAAGUUAUCUUAUCUUAUCUUAUCUAUAAAUGGGUAUUACACACUAAAAUUUACUUAUUUUAUAAGGAGUUUUCAAUUACAAUUACAGUUGAACUUUUUAGGUUUUAUACCCAUAAUGUGGAUAUAAAUAUAAAAAUAAGUAGAUGUGGUAUAUAUGACUGUCAAUGAGACAACUCUUUAAUACAAAUUUGAGCCAUGUUCCAUCCCAAAACCUGGCCAGCCCCAAGAUUAUCUGGCCCCAUUAUUUGCCAAAGUCAAUUUGUCCUUCAUUGGCCCCAGAAUUAUAAAAUAAUGAAUAGUUUAAAAUAACUUCAUAGAAUUUGGUAACAUAUUAGAAUCCUGAUAUUAGAUAAAAUUUGUAAAAAAAGUAGUAACAAGUCUUUUUAUUGGUGCAAAUUUAAGAUUUUCUUAAGAUUACAGCUGAUUGCAAAAAUAAAUUUAUCAUGUUUAUAAAUUACACUAAAUUUUUUUUUAUAGAUUUCGCAAACAUAAGUUAUGUUUAAUAAUGCACUUGACAGCGACUUAUGGGGUUGUGAAUGCAUAGUUUUAAUAAAUAGUUUGGUUCUCCUUUGAAUGAAAUGAGGUUUUUUAAUGAAGAGAAGGACGAUUGAAUUGGGUUUUCUAUUGUUUCAAUUGCGUAAUUACAAAAAUAUGCAGCUUCUCUGGAGUAUAAGUCAUUUUAGGUGUUGGUCACUUUAUUUUUUUUUGCUAUACACGUGAUAGAUGUCAAUUAUUUUGAAAGUUUUCCUGUUUCACCACUAUCUCUUAUCUUAAGCCUGCUACAUGUAUUUAUAGUUUAAAUAUGUAUAGGACAGUCAGGGGUACUACUUGUACACGUAAUUUUUUUUUACUUGAAGAAGUUAAUAUUAAUAUACCUAUAUAAGUAAAUUUGUAGGAUACUUAUACAAGUGUAUUUUGUUUACUUGCAUAGGUAAAAAAGAAAAUUGGCUGAGUUAUGUCCCUUUUAAAAAAGACAUUCUGAUUUUUUUUACUUAACCCUUUCGCCGAUGAGUCCCGGUUUACCGGGAUCGGAAUACCUCUUUUAUAUUGCCCGCUCAAAACAGUGCAACAUGGUUAUCUUCUUUGAUGAAUACCCGGAUGAAAGUGUAAACAUGCGCUUCCGUUUGGUUGAAAACCGUUCAAAAUUAGACGAAAAUUUACGGAAUUACGAGAAUUUGAAAUGAGGAACAUUUUUUUGAAAGAAUAUGAAGAAUUGAAGCCAACUAGAUACUUUUUUUACAUAAAAUGUCAAAAUAUAUACAAAAACACUUAAUGACAUCGUUAAGUGUGAGCAAUUGUGCAGCCUCAUAAAAUUUUUCAAAUUUCGCCGUUUUGCGUUAAAAAAUUCGAUUUGGGUCUUAGAGCAGAAUUUGAGAAUUUCACCUAGAAAUGCCAAAAUUUGAAAAUUGAAUAUUUUAUGAAAAAAAAUUAUCAAAACAUGAACAACCUUGUGAACAUGUGUUGUGAAUGAAAAUUAAUACACAAAUAACUAUAAACAAGUGUUUAUUGACAUUUAUUAUGAAGGUCUCCCACUUGAGUAAAAGUAGCCAGGGAAGCCAUCGUCUCAGAGUAGCUUCUGUCUGGGCAGCAAUUGGUGAAAGGGUUAAAAUAGUAAAAAAAGUUAUCCUAUCUUCUUUUCAUGAAUUCUUAGGAUUUCUUUGUUCUAAUAGAAUUUUUAAUUGUUUGUCCUUUGCAGAUGUCUUUACUGCAUGUACUAAUCAUGUAAGUGUUAUUUCAUGGACAAUGAAAAUCUCAUGUUUUCUGUUAUCUUCAGAACACUGCUCAUUUACAAGCCCCCAUGGUGCAAUUUUUAAGGCCUUGGCAAAGAUCUUUGCCCAAUCAGUUUGCUGAAUUAAUGAGAUGAAACAUUGAACUCCAAUAAAAAAUUAUGAGCUAACCUGAGAAAGAUUGUUUAAAGGCAUGUUUUUACAUCUCAAAACUUACUUGUACAAGUAAAUUUUUGAGAAAAUUAAGGGUAGAUUAUUCAAACGUUAUAAUUAAGUUAUACUGUUAUACAUGUUAUAUAAGUAUAUUUUAUUUACAUCUUCAAGUAAAUAAAGAUAACUUGUGCAAGUAGUACUCCUGACUGUAGGAUUGGAGAUUGGAAGCAUGGUAACUACUACAUGUACAUGUACUAAGUGUAUUUCAAAAACCUAUUACAAAUGUACAUGUAUGUAUUAAUGCCGACACAUGGAAUAGUCAUUUGAUUAACAUGUAUUAUUUAAUUUCAGUAUGAAAGUGGUUCAGCAACAGCCUACAUGUCAAGGAAUCAAGCUAUUAAAAAGUUACAACUCAACUUAGCGGAUUUUAGGUUUGUGUGUAAUUUACCGGUUUGGAUUUAUAAAAAAAAAAGAUGUGGUAUGAUUGCCAAUGAGACAACUCU